CGGGACGGGUGAGUAAUGUCUGGGAAACUGCCUGAUGGAGGGGGAUAACUACUGGAAACGGUAGCUAAUACCGCAUAACGUCGCAGGACCAAAGAGGGGGACCUUCGGGCCUCUUGCCAUCGGAUGUGCCCAGAUGGGAUUAGCUAGUAGGUGGGGUAACGGCUCACCUAGGCGACGAUCCCUAGCUGGUCUGAGAGGAUGACCAGCCACACUGGAACUGAGACACGGUCCAG
rnacentral:rRNA from 1 species